UAAUUCCAGCUCCAAUAGCGUAUAUUAAAGUUGUUGCAGUUAAAAAGCUCGUAGUUGNAUUUGUGGCUGUCGCGAAGCGGCCUGGCACUUGGUGCUAGUGCCUGCCUGCGACGCCAUCCUUGGGUGGAACCUGUGUGGCAUUAGGUUGUCGUGCAGGGGAUGCCCAUCGUUUACUGUGAGAAAAUUAGAGUGUUCAAAGCAGGCUUAUGCCGUUGAAUAUGUUAGCAUGGAAUAAUAAGAUAGGACCUUGGUACUAUUUUGUUGGUUUGCGCACCAAGGUAAUGGUUAAUAGGGACAGUCGGGGGUAUUCGUAUUCCAUUGUCAGAGGUGAAAUUCUUGGAUUUUUGGAAGACGAACUACUGCGAAAGCAUUUACCAAGGAUGUUUUCAUUAAUCAAGAACGAAAGUUAGGGGAUCGAAGAUGUUAGAUACCAUCGUAGUC
rnacentral:rRNA from 1 species